rnacentral:rRNA from 1 species
UACGGAGGGUGCGAGCGUUGUCCGGAAUUAUUGGGCGUAAAGCGCGCGUAGGCGGCUACUUAAGUCGGAUGUGAAAGCCCCUGGCUCAACUGGGGAAGUGCACCCGAAACUGAAUGGCUUGAAUGCAAAAGAGGGUCGCGGAAUUCCCGGUGUAGAGGUGAAAUUCGUAGAUAUCGGGAGGAACACCGGUGGCGAAGGCGGCGACCUGGGUUGACAUUGACGCUGAGGCGCGAAAGCGUGGGGAGCAAACAGG